rnacentral:rRNA from 1 species
AUACGGAGGGGACAAGCGUUAUUCGGAAUCACUGGGCGUAAAGGACGCGUAGGCGGGUUAUUAAGUCGGGUGUGAAAUCCAAUGGCUCAACCAUUGAACUGCAUUCGAAACUGAUAACCUAGAGUAUGGAAGGGGCAGGUGGAAUUAGUGGUGUAGGGGUAAAAUCCGUAGAUAUCACUAGGAAUACCGAAAGCGAAGGCGACCUGCUGGGACAUUACUGACGCUGAGGCGUGAAAGCGUGGGGAGCAAACAGGAUUAGAAACCCUGGUAGUCC